GGCUUAACACAUGCAAGUCGAGGGGCAGCAUGGUCUUAGCUUGCUAAGGCCGAUGGCGACCGGCGCACGGGUGAGUAACGCGUAUCCAACCUGCCUUACACUCUUGGACAGCCUUCUGAAAGGGAGAUUAAUACAAGAUGUUAUCAUGAGUAAGCAUUUUCGCAUGAUUAAAGGUUUACCGGUGUAAGAUGGGGAUGCGUUCCAUUAGAUAGUAGGCGGGGUAACGGCCCACCUAGUCUUCGAUGGAUAGGGGUUCUGAGAGGAAGGUCCCCCACAUUGGAACUGAGACACGGUCCAAACUCCUACGGGAGGCAGCAGUGAGGAAUAUUGGUCAAUGGACGAGAGUCUGAACCAGCCAAGUAGCGUGAAGGAUGAAGGUUCUAUGGAUUGUAAACUUCUUUUAUACGGGAAUAAACGGAUCCACGUGUGGAUUUUUGCAUGUACCGUAUGAAUAAGGAUCGGCUAACUCCGUGCCAGCAGCCGCGGUAAUACGGAGGAUCCGAGCGUUAUCCGGAUUUAUUGGGUUUAAAGGGAGCGUAGAUGGGUUGUUAAGUCAGUUGUGAAAGUUUGCGGCUCAACCGUAAAAUUGCAAUUGAUACUGGCAGUCUUGAGUACAGUUGAGGUAGGCGGAAUUCGUGGUGUAGCGGUGAAAUGCUUAGAUAUCACGAAGAACUCCGAUUGCGAAGGCAGCUUACUAACCUGUAACUGACAUUGAUGCUCGAAAGUGUGGGUAUCAAACAGGAUUAGAUACCCUGGUAGUCCACACGGUAAACGAUGAAUACUCGCUGUAGGCGAUAUACAGUCUGCGGCCAAGCGAAAGCAUUAAGUAUUCCACCUGGGGAGUACGCCGGCAACGGUGAAACUCAAAGGAAUUGACGGGGGCCCGCACAAGCGGAGGAACAUGUGGUUUAAUUCGAUGAUACGCGAGGAACCUUACCCGGGCUUAAAUUGCAACCGAAUAUGGCGGAAACGCUAUAGCUAGCAAUAGCGGUUGUGAAGGUGCUGCAUGGUUGUCGUCAGCUCGUGCCGUGAGGUGUCGGCUUAAGUGCCAUAACGAGCGCAACCCUUGCCGAUAGUUACUAACAGGUCAUGCUGAGGACUCUGUCGGGACUGCCAUCGUAAGAUGUGAGGAAGGUGGGGAUGACGUCAAAUCAGCACGGCCCUUACGUCCGGGGCUACACACGUGUUACAAUGGGGGGUACAGAGGGCUGCUACCACGCAAGUGGAUGCCAAUCCCAAAAACCUCUCUCAGUUCGGAUUGAAGUCUGCAACCCGACUUCAUGAAGCUGGAUUCGCUAGUAAUCGCGCAUCAGCCACGGCGCGGUGAAUACGUUCCCGGGCCUUGUACACACCGCCCGUCAAGCCAUGGGAGCCGGGGGUACCUGAAGUGCGUAACCGCAAGGAGCGCCCUAGGGUAAAACUGGUGACUGGGGCUAAGUCGUA
rnacentral:rRNA from 1 species